rnacentral:rRNA from 1 species
UGGGGAAUUUUGGACAAUGGGCGAAAGCCUGAUCCAGCAAUGCCGCGUGUGUGAAGAAGGCCUUCGGGUUGUAAAGCACUUUUGUCCGGAAAGAAAUCCUUGGCUCUAAUACAGUCGGGGGAUGACGGUACCGGAAGAAUAAGCACCGGCUAACUACGUGCCAGCAGCCGCGGUAAUACGUAGGGUGCAAGCGUUAAUCGGAAUUACUGGGCGUAAAGCGUGCGCAGGCGGUUUGCUAAGACCGAUGUGAAAUCCCCGGGCUCAACCUGGGAACUGCAUUGGUGACUGGCAGGCUAGAGUAUGGCAGAGGGGGGUAGAAUUCCACGUGUAGCAGUGAAAUGCGUAGAGAUGUGGAGGAAUACCGAUGGCGAAGGCAGCCCCCUGGGCCAAUACUGACGCUCAUGCACGAAAGCGUGGGGAGCAAAACAGGAUUAGAUACCCUGGUAGUCCACGCCCUAAAACGAUGUCAACUAGUUGUUGGGGAUUCAUUUCCUUAGUAACGUAGCUAACGCGUGAAGUUGACCGCCCGGGAGUACGGUCGCAAGAUUAAAACUCAAAUGAAUUGACGGGGUC